UUGAACGCUGGCGGCAUGCUUUACACAUGCAAGUCGAACGGCAGCGGGGGCUUCGGCCUGCCGGCGAGCGGCGCACGGGUGAGUAACGCGUGGGAACCUGCCCUUAGGUUCGGAACAACCGCGGGAAACUGCGGCUGAUACCGGAUGAUGUCUUCGGACCAAAGAUUUAUCGCCUUUGGAGGGGCCCGCGUCGGAUUAGGUAGUUGGUGAGGUAACGGCUCACCAAGCCUGCGAUCCGUAGCUGGUCUGAGAGGAUGACCAGCCACACUGGGACUGAGACACGGCCCAGACUCCUACGGGAGGCAGCAGUGGGGAGUAUUGGACAAUGGGGGCAACCCUGAUCCAGCAAUGCCGCGUGGGUGAUGAAGGCCUUCGGGUUGUAAAGCCCUUUCGGCGGGGACGAUGAUGACGGUACCCGCAGAAGAAGCCCCGGCUAACUUCGU
rnacentral:rRNA from 1 species